rnacentral:snRNA from 1 species
GACCUUGUAAGACCCCAU